rnacentral:lncRNA from 1 species
GCGACUCAAAAAUCUGGCUUGCUGGACACUCUUCCGGAGCUGCCCUAGUUUUGAUUGCUGGAAAGACCAUGGCGAGUUCUGGAUGCUUCCUCGAAAGUCACGCAUUCAACCCACCAUUCUCAUCUAUUCCUUAUGAGCUGCUACCUGGAGGAAAAUUUAUUAAACAUGUGUUUCGAACCGGCAAGAGUGUCGUCAAAAGCGCCAUAGCUAUGUUCGCAAAAAAACCACAGGUAAACUUUAAAUCAUAUGUAAGAGUCAAGAUAACCGGUUUAAUUAACUAUGACAGUUGAGUCAUUAUAGUCAGAGUUUCAUCCACUUGCGAUACUUUAAUGAAUGAGUUUUUUUUUUGUAGUUGAUUUUCUUAUAAGAAAAGUUUGUCUUAAAUUAUUACAGGAUCAAGAAGACAAAUCAAAAACAGCAUUGUGGAUACCUCACAUAUAUGUGAACCACAAUGAUCCAAUCUGUUUAGGAUAUAUUCAUUACCUUAGACACAGAAGCUUCAUGUCUAAGAUUGGUGCAGGCGGAAUCGAGAUACUUGCUGCUGGCGUCUCAUAUGCAAGUCUAUUGGUCGGAAAAGUAAUGAGAUCACCGCCACCUUCGAAAUUGUCAAAAGAACCUCUUUACGUUCU